GGGGAUUUAGCUCAGCAGCAUAAGCGCCUGCCUGGCAAGCACAAGGUUAUGAGUUCAAUCCCCAUUACCACCA
rfam:Cavia porcellus supercont2_53 genomic scaffold, whole genome shotgun sequence.